GAUGAACGCUGGCGGCGUGCCUAAUACAUGCAAGUCGAGCGAACAGACGAGGAGCUUACUCCUCUGACGUUAGCGGCGGACGGGUGAGUAACACGUGGAUAACCUACCUAUAAGACUGGGAUAACUUCGGGAAACCGGAGCUAAUACCGGAUAACAUGUUGAACCGCAUGGUUCGACAGUGAAAGACGGUCUUGCUGUCACUUAUAGAUGGAUCCGCGUCGCAUUAGCUAGUUGGUAAGGUAACGGCUUACCAAGGCAACGAUGCGUAGCCGACCUGAGAGGGUGAUCGGCCACACUGGAACUGAGACACGGUCCAGACUCCUACGGGAGGCAGCAGUAGGGAAUCUUCCGCAAUGGGCGAAAGCCUGACGGAGCAACGCCGCGUGAGUGAAGAAGGUCUUCGGAUCGUAAAACUCUGUUAUUAGGGAAGAACAAAUGUGUAAGUAACUAUGCACGUCUUGACGGUACCUAAUCAGAAAGCCACGGCUAACUACGUG
rnacentral:rRNA from 1 species